UACGUAGGCAGCGAGCGUUGUUCGGAAUUACUGGGCGUAAAGAGUGUGUAGGCGGUGCUCUAAGUUCGGUGUGAAAUCUCCUGGCUCAACUGGGAAGGUGCGCCGGAAACUGGAGUGCUUGAGCGUGGGAGAGGAAAGCGGAAUUCCUGGUGUAGCGGUGAAAUGCGUAGAUAUCAGGAGGAACACCUGUGGUGUAGACGGCUUUCUGGACCAUAGCUGACGCUGAGACACGAAAGCGUGGGUAGCAAACAGG
rnacentral:rRNA from 1 species